rnacentral:rRNA from 1 species
GACGAACGCUGGCGGCGUGCUUAACACAUGCAAGUCGAACGGAAAGGCCCUGCUUGCAGGGUACUCGAGUGGCGAACGGGUGAGUAACACGUGGGUGAUCUGCCCUGCACUUCGGGAUAAGCCUGGGAAACUGGGUCUAAUACCGGACAGGAGCCAUUUUUAGUGUGAUGGUUGGAAAGUUUUUUCGGUGUAGGAUGAGCUCGCGGCCUAUCAGCUUGUUGGUGGGGUAAUGGCCUACCAAGGCGGCGACGGGUAGCCGGCCUGAGAGGGUGGCCGGCCACAUUGGGGAUGAGAAAGGGCCCAGAACCCUACGGGGGGCAGAAGUGGGGAGAUUUGCAGAAUGGGCGAAGGCCAGAUGCGAUGACCCUGGGUGGGGAAUGAGGGCCUUCGUGUUAUAAACGCCUUUCCGUGGGAGCAGACCUUUUUUGAGCGUAACCUAAAAGAAAGGCACGGCCAAACUCGUG